CCUACGGGUGACUGCAGUCGAGAAUCAUUCACAAUGGGGGAAACCCUGAUGGUGCGACGCCGCGUGGGGGAAUGAAGGUCUUCGGAUUGUAAACCCCUGUCAUGUGGGAGCAAAUUAAAAAGAUAGUACCACAAGAGGAAGAGACGGCUAACUCUGUGCCAGCAGCCGCGGUAAUACAGAGGUCUCAAGCGUUGAUCGGAAUCACUGGGCGUAAAGGGUGCGGAGGCUGUUUCGUAAGUCGUGUGUGAAAGGCGCGGGCCGAAACCGCGGACGGCACAAGAUACUGCGAGACUAGAGUAAUGGAGGGGGAACCGGAAUUCUAGGUGUAGCAGUGAAAUGCGUAGAUAUCGAGAGGAACACUCGUGGCGAAGGCGGGUUCCUGGACAUUAACUGACGCUGAGGCACGAAGGCGAGGGGAGCGAAAGGGAUUAGAUACCCUGGUAGUC
rnacentral:rRNA from 1 species